rnacentral:rRNA from 1 species
CCUACGGGUGACUGCAGUGGGGAAUAUUGCACAAUGGGGGGAACCCUGAUGCAGCGACGCCGCGUGAGUGAAGAAGUAUUUAGGUAUGUUAAGCUCUAUCAGCAGGGAAGAAAAUGACGGUACCUGACUAAGAAGCCCCGUCUCACUACGUGCCAGCAGCCGCGGUAAUACGUAGGGGGCCAGCGUUAUCCGGAUUUACUGGGCGUAAAGGGAGCGCAGACGGCUGUGCAAGUCUGGAGUGAAAGGCGGGGGCCCAACCCCCGGACUGCUCUGGAAACUGGAAAGCUGGAGUGCAGGAGAGGUAAGCGGAAUUCGUGGGGUAGCGGUGAAAUGCGUAGAUAUUAGGAAGAACACCGGUGGCGAAGGCAGCUUACUGGACUGCAACUGACGUUGAUGCUCGAAAGCGUGGGGAGCAAACAGGAUUAGAUACCCCUGUAGUC